CUGUAGAACACAUUCCGGCGGAAGCCUUGAGUGGUAUUUUUAAAAUUUGAAGCCCUUGAGCGGGAUCUGCGUGCGCAAGGAUUAAUUAUUGUACGCCGUGCAUUGCUCUUUGCUUUGUGCGUAGCCGGUGUUGCGUUGUACUCGUCGCGUAGUGCAUCCAGUGGACUUGCUGGGACAGCAAACGUUCGUGCUCUCUGCUUUACUCGUGUAUUGUGGUAUGAGUGCUGCGUUGUUUACUUCCCGUGUUUGACAUACGUGCGGACAGGAAAGUGUUUCAUGUUUACGGCCCAGUCAUCGGGGCAUGAUUUGCUGCGAAGCUGGUGUGCUGAGCUGCAGGACACGACGUUUUAAAGGCGUGAAAUCUCCCAGAAGGAUAGUGUCAGAAGUCCAUGAUACAGCUGUUGCCUUCAUCCUCGUGUGCACGCUAUGGUGAUGGUGGGCAGCUGCGACAGCAUUCAUGACUGACAACUCCAGGGCGGAGGAUGCCCUUUGUGAUGUCUGGCCCUCAGCAACACAAUUGCUGUGCAUCUUUCAUGUCCUCCAAGCCGAGUGGUGCUGGCUUUUGGCUGCGCACAACAAGAUACCAAAAGAUGACCGGCGCCACCUCAUGGCAAGCUUUCAGAAGGUGCUGGUCGAAAUGACCAUGACAUACCUGCCCUGCUGGAAGCCGUCAGAGAUGUCAUCGGGCCUGAAAAUCCCAUGCUUGUGGGCUUAUAAGGCGGCAUAGACGUGAGCGAAGAGAGGGAUUCAUACUCCUGCGAGGAAAUUACUCCUUUUGGUGACAACCCACUCGAUGCUGCCUUGUUCCUGUGUUCCCUCCCUGUGCGUCUGCAGUGGAUUUCUGUGCCAUAACUGGUGCGUUUCUACUGGAAAGACUUGGAAACAGCCUCUGUGGAUAUGUUCUGCUUUGUGCCUGUGAAUUUGGCUGACACCGUAACUUGUGUAGAGAAUAGGCACUUCUUGUUUAGACCGGCAGAUACAGCUGUGGACAUUAGCGCAAAUAUGACCAGAACCUGAACUUGCGCCGGGAGUUGAAUGAAUAUCUCAAGUUUCAUGCUGUUUGUUGCUGCAUUGCAGAUCACACUAGUGCCUUAUUAACCUUUGAAUGUCGAAUGUCAUUCAUGUGUACUGAUGUAGUAUUUUCAGCAAGACCGUCCUUUAUGGUAUCGUGUUUUGUAAAGUUUUGUGCUCUCGCAGUUGUCCCUUGCUUCUCAUGAGUGAGAAGAGGCACCUAUAACCUUCAGUGAGAGCAAUAACAGUCCUUGUUCUAUUCUGUAUUGAGUCAAUAUUCAAGCCAGUCAAUAAUGUCUGCUGUAGAAGACAUAGAGAACAGUGUGGGUCUUCUUGCUUCUCCAGAUGCAAUCCUACUCAGGCUGCCCAAUAGUGUAGCCCUCGACUUGUACAAUGAGGUACCAGAAAAAAGUAAAUCUUAUGUUGACGCAAUACUACCCCGUAUCACCACUGGAGCUGAAUAUCUUCACUUGUGUUCACGCCUAGAGGGACGUAUUAAGUCCAUGUGUAAAGUUGUGGCAUGCAGGUACCGAAAAUAUCAAGGUUGGAGGAGGAAGGAGUACUUCAGAAAAGUCGGUACAAUGUGUUUUCCAAAUCCUCAGGGAGUCUCGCUUUCCAAGGACGACGCUGUCGUAUCCAUGCCAGAUGAAUUGCGGAGUAAAGUAAAAGAAAAUGAGGAGCUCAGACAAACUGUGCAGCAGCUUGAAAGUGUCGUCCAAGAUCUGAGGAAAGAGUGUUCCAUUUUGAAAAAGAAGGUGAAUGUACAAACACAACUUUUACACAAGAAACUCCAACCUGAACCCAGAAAACGUUCCAAAAGCCCAGCAGGUUCGUGACAGGAUAAACUGUGCCUGGCAGGUAGAGUUUCUGGAAAUAUUACUUGCAAGGGCUUGCUUCAAAGCUUUGAGAACUAGUUAGAGUACACACAAAUAAAAAGUUUUAGCUUGUCCUGAACCAUGUAAUACCCAAACACAGUUCCAUAUGAAUGAAAAUUUCAACUUGUGGACAUUUCUAGUCACGCAGAAUACAUAUGCAAAAGAAAUACAAAUUCUUUUUGGUUAUUCAGUAGAACCCUGUUGAUACGUUCCCGUUACGUACGUUUUCUUGGUGCCAGCAUUCUCGACUGAGAACAAAAAUUUAGUGCCCUUCCACUCUCUGAAGAAGGAUAACCAGCGAAGCUGUAUUGGGAUGACUAUAUUGACAACUAUAUUGAUUUAUAUGGUUAUUGCUAUAUUGAUUGAAUAAAGGCAGAUAGACAUAACUUCGUG